UCUCCACACAGAGGAGGAGCCUUGAUCUGGAGCACACCCGGAAGUACCUAAAGUAGCUCACUGCAGACUGGAUUUCAAUACUUCCCUGAAACAUGACAACAGAUGUACCAUAAUGAGGUGAAAGUCGCAUGUUUAUGCCUCGGAUGGUGCGAAGAUUGUGCGAUCCCUGUGAAUCUUACAAGUAGCUCAUGCUUCUUUGACAGAGCCUCUCUGAUCCGCUGCAGCUAAGCCUCCCUGUCUGCUUCGCCAUGCCGCUGAUGUUGGACGCAGUGUGGGCGCUGUGGAGCAUUGGAGCUGGCAUCUACGACUACUUUCACACCAGUGCCAUGGAGGCGAGGAUCCACACGCUGGAAAACGUCCUCUCUAUCCACCAGUUUGUGAUCGCAGGCCUGUCGGCGGGCCUCAUCCUGCUCAUGACUUACAUACUCUGGAGAAAACACUGAAACCCCAUUGACCAAGGCCAAACACCCACUAGACAUCUUACCAGGGUAGUUUCCAUCCUGAUGCUGUCCUGACAGUUUGGAUUAUGUGACUGCUCACACUUGAAGAUCAAGCAUGUUCAGCAUCGAUCAGGACGUCCCAGAUGAGGUCAGGAGCACUGAUGGGAAACUAAACCGUGCAACAAAGCUCCAUAAAGACUCCGAAAACUGGUCCAGUACCCUUCGGGUUGUGGGUGCUUGGUCUGUGCAUCCAUCUGUCUGUGUGUCUCUGUGUUUUGGAUGUCAAACUGGCCUGAGUAAUAAUAAUAAUAAUACAAAAGCAUAACAGCUUCUCAAGGCAACUUUGCACUUUUUCCACCAAGCUUGAAGGACUUCACUGUCUAGAAAAACCUCUGAGAUGAUUCAUUUAAACACCUUCCCAGUGUGUGAUGAGGGGUGAGGACGUUUGGUCAGCGGAGACGCUUUAGAAUUUAAAACUUUGGAUUUGUUACAGAACGCAAGUGUUAAUGCGGUUGCUUCUAAGUUUCUUUAACCCGUUAUCACAAGCUCACAACAUACUGUAAUUACCUCAAGAUCAGCUGUUUUCUCAUGUUUACAAAUUAGUCAUGUUACUUUUUCUCAUCUGUUUUUAGUGCUUAUUAACUUCUCAUUGUCUUGACAUAACUUAUAUCACGACUUAAUUAUCUUGAGAUAAUGGUGGUCAUAAGAUACAUGUGCCUGUGUAGAUGAGCCUGUUAUCAGGAGAUAUUUAGACUUUUAACUCCACUGAACAGUGUCUAAAGAAAACGGUUAAAUCUCUAUCUUCAGAUAUUUGUCUUAAAAAAAAAAUUAAGUUGUGAUCUUGAGACAGCAGGCUUACAUUUUUUUUAUCACUGAUGGUGGAUGCUCUCUGUUUUAAUGAUACCCUACUUUCUUUGGGCUGGGGGGACCAUUCCCCACCAAUGAUUUUCAAAAGUAAAUUAAGUAAAAAUUGUUUCUUCUCUAACAGGUUUUAAUGGGAUGGGGAUGGCAAUAUUUAACUCCUAAGUAAAUGGUGUGUUUCACUUUUUUAAAGUUGUCAGGUCAUGAUGUUGUAUGGGAAUGUGUGGCUGUGGUCAGUAAAACUGGGUUACACUAUUACUACUACAUUAUUCUCCUGGUUCCAAGUGGAAGACCCACAAUAACAGGAUAAAACACACCAUUAAGAAGUUCAAACACUUGGAAAUCCUUUUAUCCAUUAUGUGAGUUAUUGUUUCUUUAGCCUAGAAGGGAUUGGUGAUGUAGGAUGAAGGUCUGAUGUGUUUUGUGUGUGUUUAAUUUGUUCCUGCUUACGUUCAUAGUCAGUGUACUGUAUGCAGUAUUACAGAAAGUCUGACUAACCACUACCACCACUACUGUUGAAGGGAAUAUGUUUGAAUAAUAAAUCAUAACUUAAGUCCAA